rnacentral:rRNA from 1 species
GAUGAACGCUGGCGGCGUGCCUAAUACAUGCAAGUCGAGCGAACGGACGAGAAGCUUGCUUCUCUGAUGUUAGCGGCGGACGGGUGAGUAACACGUGGAUAACCUACCUAUAAGACUGGGAUAACUUCGGGAAACCGUAGCUAAUACCGGAUAAUAUUUUGAACCGCAUGGUUCAAAAGUGAAAGACGGUCUUGCUGUCACUUAUAGAUGGAUCCGCGCUGCAUUAGCUAGUUGGUAAGGUAACGGCUUACCAAGGCAACGAUGCAUAGCCGACCUGAGAGGGUGGACGGCCAGACUGGAACUGAGACACGGUCCAGACUCCUACGGGAGGCAGCAGUAGGGAAUCUUCCGCAAGGGGGGAAAGCCUGACGGAGCAACGCCGCGUGAGUGAUGAAGGUCUUCUGAUCGGAAAACGCUGUUAGUAGGGAAGAACAUAUGUGUAAGUAACUGUGCAGAUCUUGACGGUACCUAAUCAGAAAGCCACGGCUAACUACGUG